GCGUAGGUAGUAUAAUGGUUAUUAUCUCGGUUUCCCAUCGUAUGGCCCAGUUUGCUGGGAGAUUACCGAGGACCCGAGUUCGAUUCUCGGCCUACGCA